rnacentral:tRNA from 1 species
UGGCUCAGUGGUAGAGCGCAUGCCUUCCAUGCCUGAGGCCCUGGGUUCGAUUCCUAA